AGUGAACGCUGGCGGUAGGCCUAACACAUGCAAGUCGAACGGCAGCACAGUAAGAGCUUGCUCUUACGGGUGGCGAGUGGCGGACGGGUGAGGAAUACAUCGGAAUCUACUUUUUCGUGGGGGAUAACGUAGGGAAACUUACGCUAAUACCGCAUACGACCUACGGGUGAAAGCAGGGGAUCUUUGGACCUUGCGCGAUUGAAUGAGCCGAUGUCGGAUUAGCUAGUUGGCGGGGUAAAGGCCCACCAAGGCGACGACCCGUAGCUGGUCUGAGAGGAUGAUCAGCCACACUGGAACUGAGACACGGUCCAGACUCCUACGGGAGGCAGCAGUGGGGAAUAUUGGACAAUGGGCGCAAGCCUGAUCCAGCCAUACCGCGUGGGUGAAGAAGGCCUUCGGGUUGUAAAGCCCUUUUGUUGGGAAAGAAAAGCAGCAGGUUAAUACCCCGCUGUUCUGACGGUACCCAAAGAAUAAGCACCGGCUAACUUCGUG
rnacentral:rRNA from 1 species